rnacentral:rRNA from 1 species
GACGAACGCUGGCGGCGUGCUUAACACAUGCAAGUCGAACGGAAAGGCCCUGCUUUUGUGGGGUGCUCGAGUGGCGAACGGGUGAGUAACACGUGAGUAACCUGCCCUUGACUUUGGGAUAACUUCAGGAAACUGGGGCUAAUACCGGAUAGGAGCUCCUGCUGCAUGGUGGGGGUUGGAAAGUUUCGGCGGUUGGGGAUGGACUCGCGGCUUAUCAGCUUGUUGGUGGGGUAGUGGCUUACCAAGGCUUUGACGGAUAGCCGGCCUGAGAGGGUGACCGGCGACGAUGAGACUAAGAUACGCCCCAGACUACAACGGGAGGCAGCAGUGGGGAAUAUUACACAACGGGCGGAAGUCUGAUGCAGCAACGCCGCGUGCGGGAUGACGGCCUUCGGGUUGUAAACCGCUUUCGCCUGUGACGAAGCGUGAGUGACGGUAAUGGGUAAAGAAGCACCGGCUAACUACGUG